AAAACGGUCAACAUGCCACAGGCCUUCUUCCCUCCUCGUCACGCUGUCCAUAACAGGAGCCAGGCAGAAACCUCUUCAGGACCCCUGUAGCUCCAAGGACCACCUUCGCGCCAACCUCGGCCAAUAGACAGCACUUCGUGUCCACUCCCCGACCCUCAAUGCCUCAGGUGCAGCACGAGCCAACUGGUAAACAGACAG